GGAUGUGAGGGCGAUCUGGAUCUGGCUACAACAUCUGUCACCCCAUUGAUCACCAGGGUUGAUUUGGCUAAUCUGGCUGGCUGGGCAGGUGUCCCCUUCCUCCCUCAUCACUCCAUGUGCAUCUGUCCUGCAGCUGUUCACUCAGUACAAGAGGACAACCACCCCCAACAGAGGAGGACCUGUUUCCUCAGUCAAGGGUAUAUGAGUAGCUGUGCUCCCCUCUGCUGGAACCUCCAAAGAAGCUCUCAAGAAUAUUAGACACCACUACAAAAAGACAUGGUCCUUGACUGUAAAAGUUCUCCUCUCUUCUUCCCCAAAUGGA
rfam:Fukomys damarensis contig119564, whole genome shotgun sequence.